GAAAAUGGUUGGCUAUUAACUUGACCCAGAACACCCCACAAAAUCAUGCAAAUCAAGAUAUUAAAAUCUUCAUAUUCACUUUAAGAGUCAAGAAACUGCCCAGGCCAUAGGGGUGGAGGGAAGUUGCGGGGGGCGGUGCAAAUCCAAAAAGCCACAAAGUAUCUGAAAGAUGUCACUUUAUAGAAGCCAUGUAAGCCAUUCCAUUGUUCCAACUGUGGAGUCAGUAAGUGUGCCUAAGCCAAACAGUGAGGCUGGGCACAGGGUUAGUGGACCAAAAAGACUGAAUUUUUGCUGCACAUGCUUAAAAAUGCAGAGUAAUGCUGAACUUAACAGUAUUAAUAGAUUAUCUGGUCAUCAAACAUAUCCAGGUGCAUGAAGCACCCAAGAUGCACUGCCAUAUUUACAGAGCUCAAAACCAAAUUAACCUAUACAUGAGCUCCCCUGCCACACUGAGAUGAUCCUACCAAAAAGGAAAAAAUUGUUCCUUAACCAGAAGAGGUGGUUGCACAGAAGAAAAAGAUCCCAGAAGAAAUGGAUGAAACAAAAGCUUAUGGUAGGAG
rnacentral:lncRNA from 1 species